GGCGACGAAGAAAUCCGCGGCGAUCGCCGCGACAUGGGCGCCGCUCCUCCUCCUCCUCUCCUGCUUCCUCCUCCGCCCGGCCCUCGCGCUUCCGCCCGGGUCUGGUGAAGGAUACACGAUUACCGGUCGGAUCAAGAUCGACGGUAUUUCAUCAAAAGGAUUUGGCUUUCCUGCAAAACUAUCAAAUACCAAAGUCAUUCUCAAUGGUGGUCAGAGGGUUACGUUUCCGAGAGCAGAUGGUUAUUUUUCAUUCCACGAUGUACCUGCUGGGACUCAUCUUAUUGAAGUAGCUGCAUUGGGAUAUUUCUUUUCACCGGUUCGUGUUGAUAUCAGUGCUAGAAAUCCUGGUAAAGUACAGGCAGCACUAACGGAGAAUAGGAGAAUUCUGCAUGAACUGGUUCUAGAACCUUUAAGAGAAGAAUACUAUUAUGAGAUAAGGGAGCCUUUCUCCAUAAUGUCUCUACUAAAGAGUCCAAUGGGAUUGAUGAUGGGUUUCAUGCUUAUCAUGGUGUUCCUUAUGCCGAAAUUAAUGGAGAAUAUGGAUCCUGAAGAAAUGAAGCGAGCCCAAGAAGAGAUGAGGAACCAGGGAGUUCCUUCCCUAACCAGCUUGUUACCUGGGAGGAGCAAUUAAAACCUGGUUGCAUUUUGCUUCCAACUUGUCCGACUCCUAUAUUGCCUAGUUUUUCUUUUCAGGUUGCUGUAUCAAAGAAUUCAGUUAUAUAAG
rnacentral:misc_RNA from 1 species